rnacentral:rRNA from 1 species
UGGGGAAUCUUGCGCAAUGGGCGAAAGCCUGACGCAGCGACGCCGCGUGAGUGAUGAAGGCCCUCGGGUUGUAAAGCUCUGUGGAGAGGGACGAAUAAGGGUUGGCUAACAUCCAGCUCGAUGACGGUACCUCUUUAGCAAGCACCGGCUAACUCUGUGCCAGCAGCCGCGGUAAGACAGAGGGUGCAAACGUUGUUCGGAAUUACUGGGCGUAAAGCGCGUGUAGGCGGCUUGGCAAGUCGGAUGUGAAAGCCCUGGGCUCAACCUAGGAAGUGCACUCGAAACUGCUGAGCUGGAGUCCUGGAGAGGAAGGCGGAAUUCUCGGUGUAGAGGUGAAAUUCGUAGAUAUCGAGAGGAACACCUGUGGCGAAGGCGGCCUUCUGGACGGUGACUGACGCUGAGACGCGAAAGCGUGGGGAGCAAACAGG